rnacentral:rRNA from 1 species
UACGAAGGGGGCUAGCGUUGUUCGGAAUUACUGGGCGUAAAGCGCGCGCAGGCGGUUUCUCAAGUCAGUGGUGAAAGCCCGGAGCUCAACUCCGGAACUGCCAUUGAAACUGUGAAACUUGAGGACGAGAGAGGUGAGUGGAAUUCCCAGUGUAGAGGUGAAAUUCGUAGAUAUUGGGAAGAACACCGGUGGCGAAGGCGGCUCACUGGCUCGUUUCUGACGCUCAGGCGCGACAGCGUGGGGAUCGAAACAAGG